CUGGGUUUGACAUAUACGUAGUAGGGAACCGAAAGGGGACCGACACUUCGGUGAGCGUAUACAGGUGCUGCAUGGCUGUCGUCAGCUCGUGCCGUGAGGUGUUAGGUUAAGUCCUACAACGAGCGCAACCCUUGUUGCUAGUUACAAGUUACUAGCGAGACUGCUGGCAUAUAACCAGAGGAAGGUGGGGAUGACGUCAAGUCAGCAUGGCCUUUAUAUCCAGGGCUACACACACGCUACAAUGGCCGGUACAGAGGGCAGCGAAACCGCGAGGCGGAGCGAAUCUCACAAAGCCGGCCUCAGUUCAGAUUGCAGGCUGCAACCCGCCUGCAUGAAGUUGGAGUUGCUAGUAACCGCAGGUCAGCAAUACUGCGGUGAAUACGUUCCC
rnacentral:rRNA from 1 species